rnacentral:siRNA from 1 species
CCUUUAAGCACUUUUUCGGGCA